rnacentral:rRNA from 1 species
GACGGAGGGUGCUAGCGUUGUCCGGAAUUAUUGGGCGUAAAGAGCGCGCAGGCGGUAUGACAAGUCAGAUGUGAAAGAGGCCGGCUUAACCGGCAAGGGUCAUUUGAAACUGUCAGACUAGAGUGCAGCAGAGGAUAGUGGAAUUCCGGGUGUAGCGGUGGAAUGCGCAGAUAUCAGGAGGAACACCGGUGGCGAAGGCGGGUCUCUGGGCCGUUACUGACGCUGAGGAGCGAAAGCGUGGGGAGCGAACAGG